UGCCAGCAGCCGCGGUAAGACAGAGGGGGCUAGUGUUAUCCGGAAUGACUGGGCGUAAAGGGUACGUAGGUGGUUUAGUAAGUUAAAAGUGAAAGCCCAUGGCUUAACUGUGGAAUUGCUUUUAAAACUGUUAAACUAGAGGUUGAUAGAGGGUAGUGGAAUUCCUAGUGUAGAGCUGAUAUCCGUAAAUAUUAGGAGGACCUCCAGAGGCGAAGGCGACUACCUGGAUCGAUAUUGACGCUGAGGCGCGAAGGCGUGGGUAGCGAACGGGAUUAGAUA
rnacentral:rRNA from 1 species